AUGAACGCUGGCGGCGUGCUUAACACAUGCAAGUCGAACGAUGAAGCCCAGCUUGCUGGGUGGAUUAGUGGCGAACGGGUGAGUAACACGUGAGUAACCUGCCCUUGACUCUAGGAUAAGCCCGGGAAACUGGGUCUAAUACUGGAUAGGAACGUCUACCGCAUGGUGGGUGUUGGAAAGAAUUUCGGUCAUGGAUGGACUCGCGGCCUAUCAGCUUGUUGGUGAGGUAAUGGCUCACCAAGGCGACGACGGGUAGCCGGCCUGAGAGGGUGACCGGCCACACUGGGACUGAGACACGGCCCAGACUCCUACGGGAGGCAGCAGUGGGGAAUAUUGCACAAUGGGCGAAAGCCUGAUGCAGCGACGCCGCGUGAGGGAUGACGGCCUUCGGGUUGUAAACCUCUUUCAGUAGGGAAGAAGCGAAAGUGACGGUACCUGCAGAAGAAGCACCGGCUAACUACGUG
rnacentral:rRNA from 1 species